rnacentral:lncRNA from 1 species
ACUGAAUGGUUCGCUAGGUUUCACAACACGGAGGACACUGACAAACUUGAAAGGAGCCAUCUGGGUGGGGUGGUAAGGAGACAAUGUCGUCAGAGUGAGUACAAGAGAGAACGGGGUAAAGAAAUUGAACCCAGCCAGUAGGGUAGGCUCUUUCAAGGAGUUACGUUGUUAAGAGAAAUAAGGCAGUAGCUGAGAGGAAAAUGGGGCUGUGAGGCUUUAAGAUGAGAAAAACAAAGGCGUCUUCACUGAAGCAUGACUCUGUAUGACAUCCUUUCACAAAAUACCUUCCUCUUUCCUCUCAUGCCACAUUUCCCUCACAAGCCGCCCGACUCGCUCGCUUUUCUCUCGCCAGAGGGACUGAAAACGUCAUUAAUACCAACUGCAUACACAACUCCAUUGCAGCUACUGCCAUUCAUGAACGUUCAAACUUUCGUCACCCUGUUUUCAUAUUUGUGUAACAAACGUCGAGUGAACGAACCUCCACCUCUUCCAAGAACCCACGCUGAGGAGGCUUCCCAUAGACCCUGCUCUUACGAAGCCAACGACUUCUACAGGAAGAAAGAGGACCUGUAAGCUAGCGAGUGAACGACCCGCAAGAUGGAAAUGAGUGUGCUAAUAGAGGUCUCCGCCUCCCGCUGAAGGAGCAGGGAAGUGACACCACCCCCGGGACCGCCAGCCUUCUACAACAACCACCAUUUCUGAGGAACCACCUGAUCAGUCUCAGUCACCCUUCAAUCUGCCCCUUUGUCCCAACUCCUCAGCGGGUCUCGCCUCCCCUCCCCACCUCUGUCCCCCAAGGGUCCCACUACCGGCCCGAGCUGCCCUCCCUUCCUCUCGGCUGGAGGCCCCCGCGCUCUCUGUGGUCAGCCCCUGCCGCCCCUCGGGCGGCGCUGCUCUAGCUCUGCAGCCUUCCCAGGAUCCCGCGCCGCGCGGCCCCGCCCCCGCGGUCACCUGACCGAGCCCGACGCUCCGCCCACCGACCACCCCGAGCGGAGCGGGCCCAGGACCCUAUCGGCUGUCGAGCCGGUGCUGCCGCGGCCACCGCCACCGCCCAGGGGCUCCGGGGCUGUGGGGAGCGGCUGAACUCAAUACCGCCUCCGCGCUGACUGGAAGGCACUGCGGCCGCGCCUGCCUGCCCCACCUCGUAAGGGCCUGUGACCUCACGAGGCCAGCCGCCGGGCGCUGCAUUCGAGCGGUGGGGCUCCUGUCCGUGCGCUUUCCUCCCGCAGCCCCGGCCGGGAUUCCGCCCUCCGUCCUUGCCACCCGCUCGCCACUCUUCCCUAAUCGCUGUUCAUUCUCCGGUGCGCUGUCCCGCCAUGGUCUGACCCCACUUCAAUCUUACCUUCGGUCCGUCCUUUGAACACCCCGACCCCCGACCCCUUUCUUCCAAAACAUUCCAUCCUUCUUGGCUUCUGCUACUCAAUAAUGGACAGCAGCUCGAAGGCCAUGUGUCCCACGGCUUUGCUGAAAUUUGUCUCGGGUUGCCUUUAAGGAGACUGUCGUUUCCUUUUGAAAGAGAUACUUUGGUUGGUUUGGUUUUCUUCUGUGUGUUUGUUUUUCCUAUGUAUUUAUCGUAUGCAGUUGGGCAAAAUACUUAACGCUCCCUGAGUCUCGAUUUUCUCAUUCUUCCAGGGUUGUGGGAAUUCAAAAAUAUAUACGUAGUGCUCAAUAAAUGUUACAAUAUUU